rnacentral:rRNA from 1 species
UACGUAGGGGUGCAAGCGUUAAUCGGAAUUACUGGGCGUAAAGCGUGCGCAGGCGGCUAUGCAAGACAGAUGUGAAAAGUCCCCGGGGCCUCCAACCUGGGAACUGCAUUUGUGACUGCAUCGCUGGAGUGCGGCAGAGGGGGAUGGAAUUCCGCGUGUAGCAGUGAAAUGCGUAGAUAUGCGGAGGAACACCGAUGGCGAAGGCAAUCCC